rnacentral:lncRNA from 1 species
CUCGGAAGGCCUGGUUUUGAGAACUUACUGCUAUGUGACCUGGGGCAACUCACUUAACCUCUCUGAGCCUCAGUUUUGCAUCAAUAAUACCAGGUUACUAAGAGUAGCAAUAUCAUAGGAUUGUGAAAAGCCCUUGAAACAGAGACUGUCACUAAAUAAAUGAGUCUAUUGUUAUUAUUCUUGCUCUUAUGAGGGGUAAGGAAAUAAUUGUUAUUCUUGCUCUUAUGCGGGGUAAGGAAACUAAGGUUUGGGUUAACACUUAGAACAGUAUCUGGAGCACAGUAAGCUUUCAAGUGCUAUCUAUAAUUGUUAAUAUAACAAAAGCCAUAUGAAAUGAAUUUUGCUUGUUUCUCCUGGCUGCCUCCACCUACCUCGUUAUUAUUUACUAUGAAGAGGAUUUAAAAGGCUCAAGGUAGAAUACUGCUUGUGUUACUUCCAAUUCCCUGGCCCCUGUGUUCUUUGGAGGAAAGUUGUCUAGUUAAAGUAAUUCCCAUUUCCCUAACCAAUGGGUGGUUGAGGGAUGGAAUGAAAUAUUGUGGGAAAGUGAUUUAUGAGCAUAAAAAAUAUGUCUGUGCAUGGGAGUGGGUGGGGAUUAAUGUUGUUAAUCUAAACGAAGCUGAUCUUGACAGUGGAUAACAUUUGACCUAUAGGACACAGGAAUAUUGUGCUUGGUUUUUGGUUGGCCUGCAUUUCCCUUUGGAUUUAUGUGUUUCUAUCUGUCUGAGUAGUUUCAGGAGGGUAGGAUGAUUCUCAUAAAUAACUCAUUCCAAUAUUCAGUGCUCUAGGCGUCUAAUAAGUGCUUUUAAGAGACAAAUUCUAAUUUUUAAGUUAUUCCUAGUUAUAAGAAUUUAAGAAGGAGCACUAGACCUUAAGGGGCUUCAGAGAUCAUCUAGCCCAGCUUCUUCAUUAUGUAAACUGGACACCAAGUCCAAGAAGUAUUGUCCAAAGUUUCACAGCUUGUUAUGGCACUGCACUGCAAGAAUCACAGCUUGGAUUUUCUGUUUUUGUUUGUUUGUUUGUUUGUUUGUUUUGUUUUGUUUUUUACAAAGUCUCACUUCAUCAACCAGGCUGGGGUGCAAUGGCACUAUCUCGGCUCACUGCAACCUCUGCCUCCUGGGUUCAAGAAAUUCUCCUGCCUCAGCCACCCAAGUAGCUGGGAUUACAGGCACCCGCCACCACACCUGGCUAAUUUUUGUGUUUUUAGUAGAGGUAGGGUUUCUCCAUGUUGGCCACGCUGGUCUCAAACUCCUGACCUCAAAUGAUCUGCCUGCCUCAGCCUCCCAAAGUGCUGGGAUUACAGGUGUGAGCCCCCGCGCCCAGCCACAGCUUGGAUCUUCUGACUCUGAAGAUCAGAGAUCCUCAUGGAUCUGUGUCUUACCUUUAUCUCCUCUUCCCUUAAAUCUCAGGCAUUAGCUGAGCACACAGCAAUCACACAGUGUGGAAGGAGGCAGACUGAGACCUCACCAGGAAAGAGAGGGCAGGCUGGCUGGGGUUUAGAAGCCAGGUAACAUACUUUUAUGGCAUGGCAGAAUUUAUCUUAAAAGAUUUAGGUGGGUAACUUGGCAACUGAUCUCAUGACUCUUCUACCUGACAAUCCUUAACGAUAUUUAGGGAUUUAUUUUGCACUGUUUUAGAGCUGUGCCAUCCAAUAUGGUAGCCACCAGCCACAUUU